GUCCNUUCGGGGACAUCCGAUAAANNUGGAACGAUACAGAGAAGAUUAGCAUGGCCCCUGCGCAAGNAUGACACGGCACAAAAUCGAGAAAUGGUCCAAUUUUUU
rnacentral:snRNA from 1 species